GAUGAAGAACGCAGCGAAACGCGAUAAGUAAUGUGAAUUGCAGAAUCCAGUGAAUCAUCGAAUCUUUGAACGCACAUUGCGCCCGCCAGCAUUCUGGCGGGCAUGCCUGUUCGAGCGUCAUUUCAACCCUCGACCUCCCCUUGGGGAGGUCGGCGUUGGGGACCGGCAGCACACCGCCGGCCCUGAAAUGGAGUGGCGGCCCGUCCGCGGCGACCUCUGCGCAGUAAUACAGCUCGCACCGGGACCCCGACGCGGCCACGCCGUAAAACACCCAACUUCUGAACGUUGACCUCGAAUCAGGUAGGACACCCGCUGAACUUAAGCAUAUCAAUAAGCGGAGGA
rnacentral:misc_RNA from 1 species